GAGGUAAGGGCGAUCUGGCUGCAACAUCUGUCACCCCGUUGAUCGCCAGGAGUGACUCGGCUGAUCUGGCUGGCUGGGCGGGUGUCCCCUUCCUCCCUCAAUGCUUCACGUGUGUCCCUCCUGAAGCUGCGUGCUCGGUCGAAGAGGACAACCGUCUCCGCUAGAGGAGGAGCGUUCUUUGGUCAAGGGAUAUGAGUAGGGGCAUCCCCUGCUAGAGCCUCCAAACAAGCUCUCAAAUAAUGCUCUGCUUUCUUGUUAUUAACAUUUGCUUAAGGCCGGGCUCCGUGGCUCAGCCUGUCAUC
rnacentral:snRNA from 1 species